rfam:Salmo salar isolate Sally breed double haploid chromosome ssa13, whole genome shotgun sequence.
UGCAUUCAUGACUGUAAGUCGCUUUGGAUAAAAGUGUCUGCGAAAUUGCGUGUA